rnacentral:pre_miRNA from 1 species
GGCCUCCCUCUGUGGGGCGAUAGAUCAUGGGGACCCCAGAUCAAUUGUCCCGAAGAGGGAGGCC